AUUGAACGCUGGCGGCAGGCCUAACACAUGCAAGUCGAACGAGUGGCGGACGGGCGAGUAAUGUCUGGGAAACUGCCCGAUGGAGGGGGAUAACUACUGGAAACGGUAGCUAAUACCGCAUACCAUCGGAUGUGCCCAGAGGGGAUUAGCUAGUAGGUGGGGUAACGGCUCACCUAGGCGACGAUCCCUAGCUGGUCUGAGAGGAUGACCAGCCACACUGGAGCGGGAACACGGUCCAGGCUCCUACGAGAGGCAGCAGUGGGGAAUGUUGCACAAUGGGCGGAAGCCUGAUGCAGCCAUGCCGCGUGUGUGAAGAAGGCCUUCGGGUUGUAAAGUACUUUCUGCGGGGAGGCGUUACUCGCAGAAGAAGCACCGGCUAACUCCGUGCCAGCAGCCGCGGUAAUAC
rnacentral:rRNA from 1 species